GCGGCCGUGGUCCAGCCUGGUUAGGACUCAAGCUUCCCAAGCUUGCUGCGCGGGUUCGAAUCCCGCCGGCCGCACCA
rnacentral:tRNA from 1 species